rnacentral:rRNA from 1 species
UACGGAGGCGGCAAGCGUUACUCGGAUUUAUUGGGUGUAAAGGGCAUGUAGGUGGGUUUGUAAGUCGAAUGUGAAAUACCUUUGCUUAACGAAGGAACUGCAUUCGAAACUGCUUACCUUGAGUAUGGGAGAGGAAAGGGGAAUUCCCGGUGUAAGGGUGAAAUCUGUAGAUAUCGGGAGGAACACCAGUGGCGAAGGCGCCUUUCUGGCCCGAUACUGACACUGAAAUGCGAAAGCUACGGGAGCAAACAGGAUUAGAUACCCUGGUAGUCGUAGCUGUAAACGAUGGGCACUAGGUGUGGGUCCGCAUGGAUCCGUGCCGCAGUUAACACAUUAAGUGCCCCACCUGGGGAGUACGACGGCAACAUUGAAACUCAAAGGAAUUGACGGGGGCCCGCACAAGCGGUGGAGCAUGCGGUUUAAUAGGACGCUACGCCUGGAACCUUACCAGGGCUUGACAUACUGGAUGUAGAAACCUGAAAGGGUAACGACCUGUCAAAUCAGGAGCCAGAACAGGUGUUGCAUGGCUGUCGUCAGCUCGUGCUGUGAAGUGUCGGGUUAAGUCCCACAACGAGCGCAACCAUCGUCUUUAGUUACUAUCCGCAAGGAAGCACUCUAGAGAGACUGCCUCCGUAGAGGAGGAGGAAGGUGGUGAUGACGUCAAGUCAGUACGGCCCUUACGCCCUGGGCCACACGCGUGCUACAAUGGUCGGUACAAAGAGUUGCAAUACCGCAAGGUGGAGCUAAUCUCAAAAAGCCGGCCUCAGUUCAGAUUGAAGGCUGCAAUUCGCCUUCAUGAAGUUGGAGUCGCUAGUAACGGUGUAUCAGACACGAUACCGUGAAUACGCUCCCGGGCCU